UAUGAAAAGCUGAGAAAAUUCGAUUGCCUUUUUUUAUUAAUGCAAUUUUACUUGUGCAUGUUUAUAAUAUCAAUUACAUUGGAACAACUCAAUGCAGAUGGCUUACAAUGAAGAGGAAUUGGAAGAGUGAGCUUUUUUGGAUUGAUUCAUGCUUGAUGAUGAUCAUAAGUACUACUCAGGCUCAUACUUGCAAUGCGUUUUCUUCUCUAAUUUUGAAGCAGCUUAGUUUGAAGAUUUCCUCCAGUCGUCCCAAACUGAAGCAGGGUUAGAUAUGAGUGCUGCAGUUCUGAAGAAUUUGAAAACAUCAGAAGUUGCUGGUGGAGCCAAGGAAGUAUACCGAGAAGCUAGCCAAGUUUGUGAGUCCAAAAUGCAGCCCCCGCUUCAUCCAACAGCCUCGUUGAAUUAGCUUACCUCUUAUGUAGUUUAGCCAAUGGCAAAACCAAAGUACUUGUCAUGUAUAGUUCCUUGGUGGAGUAAAAGAGAUGUUAGCCGUGAUCUUUUCAUGGCUGGUACUUAGAA